rnacentral:rRNA from 1 species
CCCACUCCUACGGGAGNCAUCAGCAGGGAAUAUUGCNCAAUGGGCGAAAGCCUGACGCAGCGACACCGCGUGGGGGAAGAAGGCUUUAGGGUUGUAAACCCCUUUUCUCGGGGAAGAGGAAGGACGGUACCCGAGGAAUAAGGUUCGGCUAAUUACGUGCCAGCAGCCGCGGUAAUACGUAGGAACCGAGCGUUGUCCGAAUUUACUGGGCGUAAAGGGCGAGUAGGCGGCUUGCCAAGUCUCAUGUGAAAUCUCCCGGCCCAACUGGGAGGGGUCAUGGGAAACUGGCAGGCUAGAGGGCAGCAGAGGAAAGUGGAAUUCCCGGAGUAGUGGUGGAAUGCGUAGAUACCGGGAGGAACACCAGUGGCGAAGGCGGCUUUCUGGGCUGUACCUGACGCUGAGGCGCGAAAGCGUGGGGAGCAAACCGGAUUAGAUACCCUGGUAGUC